UCGCCUGUUUUACAAAAACAUGGCCUUUUGUUAAAAAUUUAAGGUCUAACCUGCCCACUGAAAUUUUAAUGGCCGCAGUAUUUUGACUGUGCAAAGGUAGCAUAAUCAUUAGUUUUUUAAUUGAAAGCUGGCAUGAAAGGUUGAAUGAGAAAAAGACUGUCUCUAUUUAAUUAAAAUAAGAAUUUUAUUUUUAAGUUAAAAAGCUUAAAUUUUUUUAAAAGACGAGAAGACCCUAUAGAGUUUAAUAAAGUUUAUUUAACAAAGUUUUUAAAAUUUUAAUUUUUAUUAAUUAAAAUUUAUUUUGUUGGGGUGAUAGAAAAAUUUAUAAAACUUUUUUAUAUUGUAACAUUAAUUUAUGAAUAUUUGAUCCAUUAUUUAUGAUUAAAAGAUAAAAUUACCUUAGGGAUAACAGCGUAAUUUUUUUUUAGAGUUCUAAUCGAAAAAGAAGAUUGCGACCUCGAUGUUGGAUUAAAAUUAAUUAUUGGUGUAGAAGCUUUUAAUAUUUUGGUCUGUUCGAACCAUUUAAUU
rnacentral:rRNA from 1 species